rnacentral:lncRNA from 1 species
CUCCAUGCAGGGAGCCCAACGUGGAACUCGAUCCUGGGACUCUGGGAUCAUGCCCUGGGCUGAAGGCAGGUGCUAAACCGCUGAGCUACCCAGGGAUCCCCAAAGCCUGGAGUUUUAAAAAGUCAGCGUGCAUGGCUCUGAAAGAGCUCAGAGAGGGGCUACUCUUGGAGGGAAGUCAGGCAAACAGCCUAAGGACACACAGCAUGGAAACAGUGAUCUGAAGAGCACCUGGGGAACACAGUGAGGUUAUUCACUUGUCUUACAUGCAUUCCAGAGAGACAGCUUUCCAGGAGAGACUCCUCGGGGAACAAAGAAACUGGCCAGCACCGUUUCCCUCUCCCCUGCCCCUCAAGAUAAGCACAGGGCCAACUGCAGGAAUCAGCACAGAGGGGACACUGACUACUUGACUUGCUUACACCAGUCCCACCAAUCCACAUUCUGGUAGAACCAUCCAUUCCAGUCUCUCUUGCCUUAGUUCCAGUGUAGCAGUGCCCCUUCCCCAGAACAUUUGCCCAAACCCCUGCUCACACUCUGUCUUCUGAUGCAAGAGUUUUGCAGCAAAAAUAGUCAAUUCUCAUGGCAAUGGCAACAGGUCUCAUGUCAUAAGCAGACUAGAGCACAUCUACUUAAAACAUGCCACAUUCAGCCCAGGAACCAAACACUGCUCAUAACAGGCAAAGACAACCUCUGCAGAUAACUAGACUGAGGGAUAAAGCAACCAGGAAAAAACAGCAGAGCAUACACAGCACACAUCGUAGAUACUUUAGGAAGCAGAAGGCCCUGGGGAACGGGACAUUAUACAGCAGGACACUACAGGACCUCUUCUUCAUAAGGCCAUUACCUUCAAGAACAGGAGAUGGAGCUGGCUUUUUCAACACAGAAAUAGGCACAGAGACUUGGACUAAAGGAGAAGACAGAAAAAUCUAUCCUAAAUGAAAGAAUAGGACAAGGCCAUGGCCAGGGAUAUAACCCAAACAGAUAUAAAUAACAUAACUGAUAGAGAAUUUAAAAUAAUUAUCAUAUGGAUAUUCACUGGACUUGAGAAAAGAGUGGAAGACAUGAGUAAGACCCCUAACACAAAGAUAAGGAAUCACAUAGCAAACAUAAAGGAUACAAUAAACAAAAUGAGAAACACACCUAACAGAAUCAACAGCAGGACAGAAGAAGCAGAGGAAUGAAUUAGUGACCUAAAAGGCAGAGUAAAGGAAAGUAAUCAAGCUGAACGAAACAGAGAAAAAAGAAUUAUGCAAAACAAGAAUAGACUUAGAGAAGAACUCAGCAACUCCAUCAAACAAUAAUGUUCAUAUUACAGGGGUCCCAGAAGAAGCAGAAAGAGAAAGGGAGGCAAAAAUGUAUUUGAAGAAAUAAAAGCUGACAACUUCCCUAAUCUGAAGAAUCCUCUGGACAUCCAGAUCCAGGAAACAGAGAACUCCCAUCAAAGUCAACAAGAGCAGAUCCACUCCAUGGCAUAUUGUAAUUAAUAUGAUAAAAUAUAGUGAUAAAGAAAUAAUCUUAAAGCAGCAAGACAAAAGAAGACAGUAACUUACAAGAGAAAUGCCAUAAUGCUAGCAGAUUUUUCAACAGAAACUUUGCCACCCAAAAGGGAGCAGCAUGAUAUAUUUGAAGUGCUGAAAUGAAAAAAACUGCAACCAAUAAUAUUCUACCCAGCAAAGCUAUCAUUCAGAACAGAAGGAGAGAGAAAGAGUUCUCCAGGGGAAAAAAAAAAAAAAGUUUGCCAGACAAAAGUAAAAGAGGUUCAUGACCACUAAACCAGUCCUGCAAGAUAUAUUAAAGGGGACUGUUUGAGUAGAAAAGAGAGAACAAAAGUGACAGUAUAAAGGUAGGAAACACAAAAGCAAUAAAAAUGAAUAUUUCUGUAAAAGAAUCUAUCAAGGGACUCACAAAAUAAAAUGAUAUAAAAUAUAAUGACAUAUACCUAAAACAUUGGAAGAAGGAUAAAGAAUGGGUUCAAGAUUAAACGACUCAACUUAAUAUAGACUGCUAUAUGUAGAAGAUCUUACAUGCAAACCUAGUGGUAACUAUAUAUCAAAACCACUAAUAAAUACAUAAAGUAUAAAGAGAAAGAAAUCCAAAUAUAUCACUAAAGAAAAUCAGCAAAACAUGAAAGAGAAAGACAAGAUCAGAGAAAAUCUUCAGAGACAACCAUAAAACAAAUAAUGACUAUAUAUAUAAAAUUACUUAUGGACUAAAUACUCCAAUCAAAAGACAGCAUGAGGGGCACCUGGGUGGCUCAGUCAGUUAAGUGUAUGACCUGAAGGUGGUGAGACUGAGCCCUCUGUCAGGCUCUAUGUGGAGCCUGCUUAAGAUUUUCUCUCUCCUUCACCCACCCUCCACCUUCCUCUCAAAAAAAAAAAAAAAAAAAAAA